GACGUAGGGCGCGAGCGUUGUCCGGAUUUAUUGGGCGUAAAGAGCUCGUAGGCGGCUUGUCGCGUCGACUGUGAAAUCCCUGGGCUCAACCUGGGAACUGCUUCCGAGACUGUACGACUCGAGAUCGGUAGAGGGCGGUGGAAUUUCCGGUGUAGCGGUGAAAUGCGCAGAUAUCAGGAAGAACACCCGUGGCUAAGGCGGCUCUCUAGUACGGUACUGACGCUGAGGCGCGAAAGCGUGGGGAGCGAACGGG
rnacentral:rRNA from 1 species